CUCCUCCUAAUCGCCACCCUUCCCCCCUCGGUGAGGGCUAGGACCGUUGCCAAGGAAACAACCCCGCCUCCGUUUCCAGAGACACCGCCCCUACCUCUCAGCGAGCUCCGCGAUUGGCCGGUGGAGCUCGUGCUCUCACCAUCCCGCCCCCUCCCACUACACCAACUGCUAGGAGUUAAUGGUCGCCAGGGAACGCGAGGCAGUUUUCUUAUUGGUUGCGGGGUGCGCAGGCCGGUUCCACCUCCCCGGUGCUCCAGAAAUGCCUGCGGGAGGAGUAGGAGGGAGGUCCCUGGCGUCUCCCUUCUAGACCGGCCUGUGCUUUCAGAUCUUUUCCCGCCCCCGUUUACGCCUCAUUAAGUUUUAUCUUUCCGAAGACCGAAAGCCGAGGGAUCUGAGGACAGACACCCUUCCUCCCCGGCCUCUGCCCACACUCUGCUUCCUAGCACCUUCCUUCUCCCCACAGGUUCCAGGUGCUGAUGGGGCCCAUCGGAGGGAUACUGCCAAAGAGAGAAGGCUGCUUCCUUUUCUGUUACCCUGCCUCUCCCCUCCACCUUCCCUGAGUUUAACGCCAUAUCUGGAGUCUUAAUCUCUGGUUCCUGGCUUUUCUCACAGAGAGGCAAGGAUCUUUGGGAAUCCCUUCAGGUGAAGACAAAGGAAGGGAAGAAACUGGUUAGGAGGAAACAUGGCGUCUUCUAUUCUUCUAAAAAGAGAUGAGAACAAGAAUUUGGAGAAUCCCAAGUGGUGAAACGCUGGAGAGAAGCCAUCUCAGUAAAGGCUUACAAUCACAGACAGGUGUCUUCCUACAAAUAAAGUGAGUACUUCUCUGCCCUCCA